AGCUUUCUCAAUCCGUGCAGAGAUUUUGCCAGACACCAACCCAUUAGGACCGAUAAGACUUCCAAGAUAAUAUAAGUG
rfam:Schistosoma haematobium scaffold2596_1, whole genome shotgun sequence.